rnacentral:rRNA from 1 species
GACGAACGCUGGCGGCGUGCCUAACACAUGCAAGUCGAGCGGAGAUUUAGAAGUUGAGACCUUCGGGUGGAUUCUUCUGAAUCUUAGCGGCGGACGGGUGAGUAACGCGUGGGCAAUCUGCCCUUCACAGGGGGAUAACACAGGGAAACUUGUGCUAAUACCGCAUAACGUCAUUUGAUGGCAUCUUCGAAUGACCAAAGGAGCAAUCCGGUGAAGGAGGAGCCCGCGUCUGAUUAGCUAGUUGGUAGGGUAACGGCCUACCAAGGCGACGAUCAGUAGCCGAACUGAGAGGUUGAUCGGCCACACUGGGACUGAGACACGGCCCAGACUCCUACGGGAGGCAGCAGUGGGGAAUAUUGCACAAUGGAGGAAACUCUGAUGCAGCAACGCCGCGUGAAGGAUGACGGCCUUCGGGUUGUAAACUUCUUUGACAGGGGACGAAGAAAGUGACGGUACCCUGAGAACAAGCCACAGCUAACUACGUGCCAGCCGCCGCGGUAAAAC